CGGAAAUAAAUAACGGGAAUAACUAAAGUAAAUUACGGAAAUUACUGAAUUAAUAAUGGAAAUAAUAACGGAAACAAACUCCAGAGAGACAGAAACAUACAUCUGAAACUUAGAUGACAGGCCAAGAAGAGCAACGGAAAUAACAAAGAUAAUUACAGAAAUAACUGAAAUAAUAACGGAAAUAACGGAAAUAAUAACGGAAACAAACUCCAGAGAAACAGAAACAUACAUCUGAAACUUAGAUGACAGGCCAAGAAGAACAACAGAAAAAACAGAAAUAGCAGAAAUAACGGAAAUAACGGAAAUAAUAUCCAGAGAGACAGAAACAUACUUCAGUAACUUAGAUGACAGGCCAAGAAGAACAACGGAAAUAACAGAAAAAACAGAAAUAACGGAAAUAAUAACGGAAAUAACGGAAAAAACCUCCACAGAGACAGAAACGUACGGCAGAAAAUUAGGUGUCAGGUCAAGAACAACAACGGAAAUAACGGAAAUGACGGAAAUAAUAACGGAAAGAAUGGAAAGAACCUCCAGAGAGACAGAAACAUAUGGCAGAAAGUUAGGUGACAGGUCAAGAACAAAAUGGAAAUAACAGAAAAAAACGAAAUAACGGAAAUAAUAAUGGAAAUAACGGAAAUAACGAAAAUACAAACGGAAAUAACGGAAAUAAUAUCGGAAAUAACGGAAAGAACCUUCAGAGAGACAGAAACAUAUGGCAGAAAACUAGGCGACAGGUCAAGAACAACAACAGAAAUAAUUAAAAUAAUGGAAAUAACAGAAAUAACAGAAAUAAAAAUGGAUAUAACGGAAAUAAUAAUGAAAAUAAUGGAAAUAAUAUCGGAAAUAAAGGAAAUAAUGGAUAAAACCUCCAGAGAGACAGAAACACACUGCAGAAAAUUAGGUGACAGGUCAAGAACAACAAUGGAAAUAACGGAAAUAACGGAAAUAACGCAAAUAAUAACAGAAAUAACGGAAAUAACCUCCACAGAGACAAAAACAUACGGCAGAAAAUUAGGUGACUGGUCAAGAACAACAACGGAAAGAACGGAAAGAACGGAAAGAACAGUAAUAAAUUCCACAGUGACAGAAACAUACGGCAGAAAAUUCGAUGACAAGUCAAGAAGAACAACAGAAAUAACGGAAAUAAUGGAACAAACCUGCAGAGCGACAGAAACAUACAGCAGAAAAUUAGGUGACAGGUCAAGAACAACAACGGAAAGAACAAAAAGAACGGAAAAAAAGAAAAGAACCUUUACAGAGACACAAAUAUCGGAAAAAACAAAAAUAACGGAAAUAAUGGAAAUAACGGAAAUAAACUACACAGAGACAGAAACAUAUGGCAGAAAAUGUCGUGACAGGUCAAGAACAACAAUGGAAAUAACGGAAAUAAUGGAAAUAAUGGAAACAACGGAAAUAACGGAAAUAAUGGAAAUAACCUCCACAGAGACAGAAACAUACGGCAGAAAAUUAGGUGUCAGGUCAAGAACAACAACGGAAAUAACAGAAAAUCCGAAAUAACAGAAAUCAUAACGGAAAUUACGGAAAUCAUAACGGAACUAACAGAAAUCAUAACGGAAAUAACAGAAAUAAUAACGGAAAUAAACUCCAGAGAGACAGAAACAUACGGCAGAAAAUUAGGUGACAGGCCAAAAACAACAUCGGUAAUAACGGAAAUAAAGGAAAUAACCUCCAGAGAGACAGAAACAUACGGCAGAAAAUUAGGUGACUGCCCAAAAACAACAACGGAAAUAACGAAAAUAACUGAAAUAAUGAAAAUAACGGAAGUAAGGAAAAUAACGGAAAUAACUGAAAUAAAGGAAAUAACCUCCACAGAGACAGAAACAUAUGGCAGAAAAGUAGGUGACAGGUCAAGAACAACAACGGAAAUAACGGAAAUAACAGAAAUAACGGAAAUAACCACCACAAAGUUGGAAACAUAUGGCAGAAAAUUAGGUGAAAGGUCAAGAACAACAACAAAAAUAACGGAAAUAACGGAAAUAACGGAAAUAACCUCCAGAGAGACAGAAAUACACAGCAGAAAGUUACGUGACAGGUCAAGAACAACAACGGAAAGAACAGAAAGAACAAAAAUAACGGAAAGAACGGAAAGAACGGAAAUAACCUCCAGAGAGACAGAAACAUACGGCAGAAAGUUAGGUGACAGGUCAAGAACAAAACCGGAAAUAACAGAAAAAAACGAAAUAAUGGAAAUCAUAACCUAAAUAACGGAAAUCAUAACAGAAAUAACGUACAUCAGAACGGAAAAAACGAAAAUAACGGAAAUAACCUCCAGAGAGACAGAAACAUACAGCAGUAAAUUAGGUGACUGGUCCAGAAAAACAACGGAAAUAAUAGAAAAAAACAAAAUAACGGAAAUCAUAACGGAAAUAAUAACGGAAAUAACGGACAUCAUAAUGGAAAUAACGGAAAUCAAAACGGAAAUAACGGAAAUAAUAACGAAAAUAAUGAAAAUAACGGAAAUAACCACCAGAGAGUCGUAAACAUACGGCAGAAAAUUAGGUGACAGGCCAAGAACAACAUUGGAAAUAACGGAAAUAACGGAAAUAACGGAAAUAACGGAAAUAACUUCCAGAGAGACAGAAAUGUACAGCAGAAAAUUACGUGACAGCUCAAGAACAACAAUGGAAAUAACAGAAAUAACGGAAAUAAUGGAAAUACGGAAAUAACGGAAAUAACGGAAAGAACCUCCAGAGAGACAGAAACAUACGGCAGAAAAUAAGGUGACUGGUCAAGAACAACAACGGAAAUAACAGAAAAAAACGGAAAUAACUAAAAAAAAAAAGGAAAUAAUAACGGAAAUAACAGACAUCAUAACGGAAAUAACGUAAAUCAUAACGAAAAUAUCGAAAAUAACAGAAAUAACCUACAGAGAGACAGAAAAAUACGGCAGAAAAUUAGGUGACAGGCCAAGAACUACAUUGAAAAUAAAGGAAAUAACGGAAAUAAUGGAAAUAACGGAAAUAUUGGAAAUAAACUCCAGAGAGACAGAGACAUUCUGCAGAAAAUGAAGUGACAAGUCAAGAACAACAACGGAAAUAACGGAAAGAACGGAAAUAAUAACGGAAAGAACGGAAAGAACCACUAGAGAGACAGAAACUUACGGCAGAAAGUUAGGUGACAGGUCAAGAACAAAAUGGAAAUAACAGAAAAAAACGAAAUAACGGAAAUAAUAAUGGAAAUAACGGAAAUAACGAAAAUACAAACGGAAAUAACGGAAAUAAUAACGGAAAUAACGGAAAGAACCUUCAGAGAGUCAGAAACAUACGGCAGAAAACUAGGUGACAGGUCUAGAACAACAACGGAAAUAACGGAAAUAACGGAAAUAACGAAAAUAACAAAAAUAACGGAAAGAAUGGAAAGAACGGAAAGAACAGAAAGUAUAGAAAGAACGGAAAAUACGGAAAUAAUAACGGAAAUAACGGAAAUGAACUCCAGAGGGACAGAAACAUACAGCAGAGAAUUAGGUGACAGGUCAAGAAUAACAACGGAAAGAACGGAAAGAAUGGAAAUAAUAACGGAAAUAACGGAAAUAACCUCCAGAGACAGAAACAUACAACAGAAAAUUAACUGACAGGUCAAGAAAAACAAUGGAAAUAACAGAAAAAACUGGAAUUAUGGAAAUAAUAAUGGAAAUAACUGAAAAAAAUAAGGGAAAAAAUAACAGAAAUAACGGAAAUAACGCAAAGAACCUCCAGAGAGACAGAAACAUACGGCAGAAAAUUAACUGACAGGUCAAGAACAACAACAGAAAUAAGGGAAAUAACGAAAAUAACGGAAAUAAUAACGGUAAUAACAAAAAUAACCUCCACAGAGACAGAAACAUACGGCAGAAAAUUAAAUGAAAGGUCAAGAACUACAAUGGAAAUAACUGAAAUAACGGAAAUAACGGAAAUAACGGAA
ensembl:lncRNA